AGGCGCGAAGGAGGACGUCGUCGUUGACCGCAUCGCCCACAUCGCCGCCAGAACACACGACGAGGAGAGAGAAAAAAAAACAAAGAGAGACACCGCCAUUACACACACACCACACACACACAGAGAGUUUUUAAUCGUCAUCAGAGAUUCAAAACAGCCCCGGAACAGGGGCUUCGACUGACCCAGAAGAACAUCCCUGAGCCUCUGGCAGGAACCUGAAGCUGCAGAAUACCACAAACGAGGCCGAGAGAGACAGACCGUGCAAAGUGCGUGGACGGACAGGCUCACCUGAGAAGUUGCGUGUGGCCAGCAUGGUGGUGAGGAUCGCACCC